rnacentral:SRP_RNA from 1 species
GCCGGGCAUGGUGGCACAUGCCUGUAGUCCCAGCUACUCGGGAGGCUGAGACAGGAGAAUCGCUUGAACCCAGGAGGUGGAGGUUGCAGUGAGCCAAGAUUGCACCACUGCACACUCCAGCCUGGGUGACAGAGUGAGACUCUGUCUCAA